rnacentral:rRNA from 1 species
CCCGCUGAACUUAAGCAUAUCAAUAAGCGGAGGAAAAGAAACUAACAAGGAUUCCCCUAGUAACUGCGAGUGAAGCGGGAAAAGCUCAAAUUUUGAAUCUGGCGGUCUCUGGCCGUCCGAGUUGUAAUCUAGAGAAGCGUUUUCCAGCGCUGGGCCGUGUACAAGUCUCCUGGAAGGGAGCAUCAUAGAGGGUGAGAAUCCCGUCUUUGACACGGAAACCAGUGCACUGUGAUGCACUCUCGACGAGUCGAGUUGUUUGGGAAUGCAGCUCAAAACGGGUGGUAAAUUCCAUCUAAAGCUAAAUAUAGGCGAGAGACCGAUAGCGAACAAGUACCGUGAGGGAAAGAUGAAAAGAACUUUGGAAAGAGAGUUAAACAGUACGUGAAAUUGCUGAAAGGGAGACGCUUGAUGUCAGUCGCGUCGGCCGGGGGUCAACCUUGCUUUUUUCGCUGGGUGUACUUCCUGGUCGACGGGUCAGCAUCAGUUUCGGUCGCCGUACAAAGGGCGGAGGGAACGUGGCACUCUUCGGAGUGUGUUAUAGCCUUUUCGUCGCAUGCGGUGGCUCGGGACUGAGGAAACUCAGCACGGCUUCUAGUUUGUGCUCAAGGGAUGCUGGCAAUAAUGCCCUUAAGCGACCCGUUCUUAAACCACGGAAG